rnacentral:rRNA from 1 species
GAUGAACGCUGGCUACAGGCUUAACACAUGCAAGUCGAGGGGCAGCGGGGAUCUAGCUUGCUAGAUUUGCCGGCGACCGGCGCACGGGUGAGUAACACGUAUCCAACCUGGCCCAUACUCGGGUAUAGCCUCUCGAAAGGGAGAUUAAUCCCCGAUGUUGUUGUUUCACCGCAUGGUGUACCAACCAAAGAAUCUCGGUAUGGGAUGGGGAUGCGUUCCAUUGGCUUGUUGGCGGGGUAACGGCCCACCAAGGCGACGAUGGAUAGGGGUUCUGAGAGUAAGGUCCCCCACACUGGAACUGAGACACGGUCCAGACUCCUACGGGGGGCAGCAGUGAGGAAUAUUGGUCAAUGGGCGAGAGCCUGAACCAGCCAAGUAGCGUGAAGGAUGACUGCCCUACGGGUUGUAAACUUCUUUUGUUUGGGAAUAAAGUUCAGCACGUGUGCUGUUUUGUAUGUACCAUUCGAAUAAGCAUCGGCUAAUUCCGUGCCAGCCGCCGCAGUAACAC